UGACAUACAAGCCCUUUAACUGUCCUCAUUAGUGAAAACACGUUUAAGUGCUGUUAGCUGCAGUGACAGACACAUUUGUGAGUUGAAGAACAUAGAUAAUCCUAGUGGUGACCCUGAAAACCAUGUAUCAGAUGCCAUUGCUUCUCUCUUAGAGGCCUGACACCUCUGUCAUGCAGCAGCAUAUUCUCACCACAACUUAGUCUUUCUGCUCUUUGGCAUGUUUCUUUUUUGCUUUUUGAUAAAGCAUAUAGUUUCACCCACUGGUUGCACAAUCUUAAGAGCUGACCACACAAUUCUAUUUUAGCAAAUGAAGAGAACAUAGGUCCUAGUAUCAAGCAAAAUAUUAGCUGCCUUUUGAGGGGAAUGAGUCUUUCAGAGCAGAGCCAAAGACCAGUUUCUAGCCUGUGACUUCAUGGGAGCUUUUGGAUUCUUCCAAGUUAGCUUACAAAAUGCUCUGCAAAAUGUAUCUUAAACAGUGCAUUUCUCUGACCUCUAAAGCAUCACUAUGUCAAUUCAGAGGCCUUUCCAUAAACUUUCUUAUGACAUUAAAAUCAAGCAUAAAAGACCAUUGUUCAAUCCAGGCUCCCAUUUCAAAGUUUAACAGGCAUACUAAGAGGUAGAUGAUGGUUAGUUAUAGUGACCUAAAAGCAAAUGCCACUAACUGCUGUAUCUUAGGUUGUAAAUUUUUGUUGUCAUAUUAAUAAAUAGCAAAGAUAUGACUGUCUUCUAUUUUUGCCCUAUUUCAAUUCUGAAGUACAACCCUAAAUGCCUGAAUAACUCCAAAUGCAAAUUUCUACUCAAGCUAGUUAUUAAGCUACACAAUUUUUCCUGAAGUAUAUUGUAGGGGAAACUUAGAAACUUGCAUUGAGAAACUCAUAAAAUUUCAUUCCUAAACACACACACACUCAAAAUUAGACUGCCUUCUGAAAAUUACAUCAGCAGUUUCUAAUAUCUUAUAAAAUCUUCACCCAACACAAGUAUAUCUAAUUCCAAGAGAUGGGAUAGGGUGGAUUGUUGUAGUGGUAACAAGGAAAAGUAAAGUUGUCUUGAUAAUAUUACAUCAAAAAUAAGCAACAAUAUGGAGUUCCUGUUGUGGAUCAGUGGGUUAACCCAACUAGUAUCCAUGAGGAUGUGGGUUCCAUCUCUGGUCUUUCUCAGUAUGUUAAGGAUAGGGCAUUGCCAUGAGCCAUAGUGUAGGUAGCAGAUGCAAAUUCAAUCCAAGUUCCUAUGGCUGUGCUGUAGGCCUGCAGUUGUAGCUCCAAUUCAACCCCAUCAACCCCUAGCACUUUCAUAUGCUGCAAGUGUGGUCCUAAAAAGCAAAGCCAAAAAAAAUAAAAUAAAAUAAGCAGCAAUAGACAUUGAAUGAAUAGACAUUUCCUAGUAUAGAGAAGGAAAAGAUCCUUUAGCAAUAAAGAGUUUUUUUAAAAACAAACUUUAAGACAUUGCAGACUAAAGAUUAAAAACUUUUAAUAUGUGUAUGUAGUAAGGAAGGACUAAAAUUAGAGAAGUUUGGACCAGUUGUCACAUGUGACUAAAAAGAGGCAACAUGAGGAGAACAAAAAGCAGAAGCAUUUCAAACCAGAAACCGCUCUCAUAACCACAUUCAGAUAAGCAUUUUGCAGUUUAUUACAUAAAAUUAUGUCUUUAAUAACUACAUAGUUCUUACAUAGACCUCGUUCUCAUUUUGUAAGUGAGAGCUCUUGGCUUAUUUUAUAGUUUAACAGAGAUGUGGAUUAGUAUUUAAACUAGAUGAAUUCCGCAUGACUAUUGGAUUCAAGAUUUGAGGAUCUAAAGUGAAAAUGCGGCAUAAUAUAUGGAAAUAUUCCUGAACUUAUUGAUAAGUAUGAGUGUACUACAUGCUAUACAAACAACAAGAGAAUGUUUCUCACUCUUAGGGCACUUUCUUCUACUUCCCCCUUCCUCUUCUGUUCUUUUAGCUUAUUCAGAAUAAUGUUGUGCAUAAUUCAAGCAUCAUUUGUGAUCUGGUGUCUAUGAGCACAUCAGUUUUAUAAGCAGAAAAUUUUAUGAGAGAAAGAGUCUCUAAGAAAUAUAUGCAUAUACAUACAAAUGUUAUAUGUAUACAAUUAAUAUAUAAUACAUAUAGCAAGAAAUAAUGAAAUAGCCAGCAGAGUCGAAUAGUUACUCGCUCCAAAAAAUUUUAGCAAAUAGAAUUACUCAGAUUUAAGUCAUUUGGCUGCUGAAAUAGAUUUCAUGCAUUUGCUAAUGUUAAAAUUUAAGAGACCUUUGUUUUUCUACAUUGACAUACCAUAACCCUAAUUACCCAUACUUUAAACAAAAAGAUAAAAGACACAGGAUAUAUGUUCAAAAGAGUGUCAUGAACAGAAGAGAAAUAUAGGGAGUAGUGACCAUGACUUUGACUUAUUUUUAGGUAUUAUAAUUCAUUUGCCCAAUUCUGUAAAAAUUAUAAGUUUGUACCCGUGAGAAUUUGAAUGUAUUUAACCUUUGGGGAAGCAGAAAAAAAUUAAUGUUUCAUUUUUACAAGGUUACCUAUCAAAAUGGGAUUUUCUUUUUUUUUAAAUGGACAUUUUUUAGUUUUAUUUUUAAGAAGGUAGUAUAGUAUACAUGAUUCACAAUUGUAAACACAAUGACUUUAAAAUUUGAUAUCUUUUAUAUUUUGCAUCUCUUUGCUUCUCAGUUUAUGUUUCUCUUGAAUGCAGCUCUAGUUAGACCAAUAUGUAUCUAAAUGUUGUUCUUUAAAACCGUUUUUGGCAGUAUUUCAUCACAUUGCUAUUGUGUCAUCUCUGUGUUUCACUUUGAAAAUGUAAAAUUUGAAAAGUUGUUCAUGAUGUCAGAUGACUAAAUUUCGUAAUGAAAUGGAGUAUGUGUGUAUAAUAUAUGGGUUAUAUAUGUAUACAUGUGCAUGUAACUUCUGUAUCUAUAUCCAUAUAUUUUAUCCUAAGAAAUUCAUUAACUUAUAGAUAAUGUCUGCAUAUGAGGAAAUGGGAUCUCAUCUAUGAGCAUAUAUUUCCUUCUUUCUUAUAGGAAUCUUUGGUUCUAACUAUCUUGUUUUGUCCUUCCUUGACUCUUGACAGCUGACAAAAUAUUUCUUUCCUGCCAUCACAGAGAUUUUUCUAAAACACAGAGGUACCAUGUGUCCCCUUUAGUCCCAGUUCCUAUGGUAUGGACUUUUAAACUUUGUAGUGUGUCCAUAAAGCAAGGAAUCUGCAGUUUCCAUAAGAUCAGCAUCAAUCCUCCCUUGUCUAGUAACAGCGUUUCGAUUUUCCUCUGUAAUUUGCCCUUUCUGCAGUUCAGGCUGUCUUGAGACACAUAUCCCAUGAGAUGUUAAACCAAAUUUAUUUUGUUCCCACAAAGGAGGGAAUCUGUAGUUUUCAUCAAACCAACAUUAAUUCCCACUUGCCUGGCAAAGGCAAGUUGAUUUUUCUUCUGUGAUUGUUCCUCCCACAAUGCAUGCAGCCUACUUGGUGUCACUUAGUUUUGCCACAUGACACACACUAGUGAAGCCAUUCUCUACUAUCUAGAAAUUCAGAUUUUAAGAGAAGUGAAUGGAAAAGAGCUAAAGCAAUUGAAUCCAGACUCCCAAGUGCUAUUUAGUUCUGGUUACCUCUGACCUCUCAUUAAACCCUUUUACCUUAUCCUAGCUCUUUUCUGAGAAUUAGGUCUUCAGCUUUUACCCUGAUUCUGAGAAAUAGCAUAUGGUUCCAGUUACUUUUGUUGUUACUAUUUUUGCUCAAGUAAGAGGGUCAGUUGCUGUUGUUUGUAAUUAAAGGGUGCCCAUUAAUUCAGGAUUCAUGAUGGGCACUUUGCUUACAUAGGCUCUUUUUCUUACCAGUCCACAUAGGCUCCUCUUGAUGCCUUUUUAUUGGCUAAUCCUUUGCCUGGAAUGUCUUUCCUGCAUCAUUCUUCUUUAUGUACCUAGGGAAUUCUUAUCUUUUCCUCUCAGGAUUAUUUCCCUUGAGCAGCCUUCCCUACAGCACUACCUCCUUCUCAUGUUAUAAUAAGUACCUCUUGCCUAUAUUCGAACCGUGAGCAAAUUGUGCAUACUUUAAUCAUAGCAGUGAUACUGUAGGUAAUUGCUUAUUUCCCUAUCAGCCUCCUCUACCAGAAACAGUUGCUCCAGGAGAGGGUCAGUCCCCAAAUCUUUGUGCCUUCAGGAUCACUGUAAAAUCCCCUUAUGACAAAUAUAAUAAAAUGUUUGUUGAAUAAUUACGAGAGUGAGCUCUUACUUAUUAAAAAAUAAAGCACAGAGAGUUCUGAAUAUUGUAAUUAGUGUGUAUCAGAGAGCACUUUUUCUCUAAAUCUUGGAGUUGUCCUUCACAUGCCAAUAAAAGUUUAACAUUGCCAUGUCAGUGCAAAUCAAAGGACAUUGGCAGUUAAUACUGUGUUUGAAAAUAGUAAAUUAAUCUAUCUGUAAUAGUUAAAGGGAUUAGCAUUACUGUCCAAACUGUGGUACCUUUGCAAGAGAAAGAGGGCCUGUUGUGCCAAGACAACUGGUAUAAACUGGAUUGUUCUUGCUAAACUAGGAUACGAGGUCAUCUUAGUUACAGUUAACUGACUACAGGUGAAGACCUAGCAAGUCAAUGUUUCUGUGGUCCUUGAUUUGUUAUAGCAUUCCCUAAAGCAGGAGUAUUUUUUUACCCAGCAUCUUAAGGCAUUGAACGAAAGAUAUAUGUAAUGGGCAAUUUCUUUAAGUGUAAUUUUAUUUUGUUUUUAAGUUCAGCAUCUAUCUGGAUGGUUGGAAAGACAGGAGUCAGCCCUACUCCCCACCAUCUUUUCUUAAGGCCAAGCCUACUGAUGAAAGUCAUUUUAAUGCUGUUUGUUAUAGAGACCUCAGUUUAUUUCAAAGACAAUAAGAAUAUUAGUUUGUAGUAUCUCUAUAUGCAGAUCAUUUUAAUUCCUUGGAUAUACAGAAAAAUCUUUGGUGUUGGACAGGUAUGUUUUAAUUUCAGUUGGCUUGCAACCCUACUUUUAGUGAGCUGAAUAAAGAUUUAUCCUGAAAUUCAGCACUGCUCAAUCUGUUAUUAAUGCACAGCUGAGGGGUCCUCGGGGUGCACAGAGCCAUGAGCUCAUACUUCCAAGUGCUUAACUAAAAAUGCUUUAAGCGUUCUUUGCCCUCUAGUCUCCUCUGUCUCCAUAGUCUACAUUCCUGUCCCAGUUUUUGAAUGAAGUCCAUGAAAAAAUAGACAUUUGACAUUGACUUUAUCCUUUGUCCAAAUUCAGUGCUUGAAGAAACAUGUCUGAGAGUAUUCUGAUGAACUGUCCAUUGACAUUUAAAAUCUACUAGACACUGUACUAUCCCAAGAGGAGCUCAGCCAUUGGGGCUAAAAUCUAAUUUGGCUGUCACAAAAUAUAGGAUAAAUUUGGAGGUUAAAAAUAAAAUAAAAUAAAGAUCUUUAACUCUCUGGCUAGCAAUAGUGUUGUUUCCAAAUAGUAAUCAUCCUUUUCAAGCAUAUGCAAUAGGGCCCUGGAGAAAAUCUGUAUAAUCUUUGAAAGAAGUAAAUGUUACUAGUUCAAUAAUACCAGGAGGAAAUAAAGAGUGCUAUAAGGUUGGAUAACAGAAUCAGUUUAUGUGUCUUUGGAAAGCCAAUGGAGGAUAAAAACAAGAGCAUAAAGACUAGUAAAUAUAAAGUCUCCAUUCUUCCAGGGACAUUGGAGAAGCUGAAAAGCCUCAUGAAUGUCCCUGGUGGAGAGGAAAUUAGACUGACACUGUCAUCUACAUGGUAUGUU
rnacentral:lncRNA from 1 species